CAGCAACACAUUAACCAGCCCUCGGCUCUGGUUUGUUGUCUUCAGAAUCCAGUUGUUCCUGUCAGGCCAGUUGCAAAGGGCAGCGGUGCAGGUGAAAGGAAGAAGGGAGGGACUGAUCAAGGCAGAGAGAAAGAGGAGGAGAAAGCUAACAGAAACCAAAUAUGACUGUGUAAAACAAAAUGGAUUCAGCCAAGCUCAGCGGAGGGGGAAAUGAACCCCUGAUGGAGGAAACAGUGCAGCGACAAGACAGCGUGAACGGAGAGAGACACAGGGACACAGAAACCAGAGAGACAGAUGUUGUUGAUGGGACAACCAAUGCUGCAGACAUAAACCAUCACCACAGGGGGUCAGCAGACAAACAAAAAUUCGGCACGCUUGGCUACCAGAGGCGAACCAAGCAGAAGGCUGUGACUGACUUUGCAUCAGUGAGUAAGGGAGCUUCUGCAGGAGCCAAACCCAGAGCUGCUCUGAGGCAGGUCCUGUUCAACCAGGGAGUGUCUGACAAAACGUCUGAGGAACGAGGUCAGCUGGAUGUGUUGAAGCAGGAACUGGAGGCCUUUGCUGUGCCAGUCAGUCUGAAGUGGAAGUGGAACGAGGAGAAUCAGGGAACCGUGCUGGAAAAGAACUGGACAGAAAUAGUCCGGUCUCAUUCAGUAUGUGCACCUUGGCAGUCAUUCUUGCAAAUAAAUCCACUUUUGCUGCUGUAAAUACUCACUGUGCAGCUG
rnacentral:lncRNA from 1 species